UACGGGGGGUGCGAGCGUUGUCCGGAAUCACUGGGCGUAAAGGGCGCGUAGGUGGCCUGAUAAGGGUGUGGUGAAAGUCCGGGGCUUAACCCCGGAUCUGCCGUGCCGACUGUUAGGCUAGAGUGCUGUAGGGGCAGGCGGAAUUCCGGGUGUAGCGGUGGAAUGCGUAGAGAUCCGGAGGAGGACCGGUGGCGAAGGCGGCCUGCUGGGCAGAUACUGACACUGAGGCGCGACAGCGUGGGGAGCAAACAGG
rnacentral:rRNA from 1 species